rnacentral:rRNA from 1 species
UACGUAGGGUGCGAGCGUUAAUCGGAAUUACUGGGCGUAAAGCGUGCGCAGGCGGUUUUGUAAGCCAGAUGUGAAAUCCCCGGGCUUAACCUGGGAAUGGCAUUUGGGACUGCAAGGCUGGAGUGCGGCAGAGGAGACUGGAAUUCCUGGUGUAGCAGUGAAAUGCGUAGAUAAUCAGGAGGAACACCGAUGGCGAAGGCAGGUCUCUGGGCUGACACUGACGCUCAUGCACGAAAGGCGUGGGAGCAACAGAUUAGAGUACC